rnacentral:rRNA from 1 species
CCUACGGGUGGCUGCAGUGGGGAAUAUUGGACAAUGGGCGAAAGCCUGAUCCAGCCAUGCCGCGUGUGUGAAGAAGGCCUUCGGGUUGUAAAGCACUUUCAGUGGGGAAGAAAGCCUUGGGGCUAAUACCCUCGAGGAAGGACAUCACCCACAGAAGAAGCACCGGCUAACUCCGUGCCAGCAGCCGCGGUAAUACGGAGGGUGCGAGCGUUAAUCGGAAUUACUGGGCGUAAAGCGCGCGUAGGCGGUCUGAUAAGCCGGUUGUGAAAGCCCCGGGCUCAACCUGGGAACGGCAUCCGGAACUGUCAGGCUAGAGUGCAGGAGAGGAAGGUAGAAUUCCCUGUGUAGCGGGGAAAUGCGUAGAGAUCGGGAGGAAUACCAGUGGCGAAGGCGGCCUUCUGGACUGACACUGACGCUGAGGUGCGAAAGCGUGGGUAGCAAACAGGAUUAGAUACCCGUGUAGUC